rnacentral:lncRNA from 1 species
GAAGUCCUGACUAGAACAAAGGUUGACCUCCCCCAAGCAAGAGGGAAUCCUCCAACAGAAUGCCUUUGAACUUCAUCUGCAACAUGGGCUCUUCUGGGUUCUAUAGUAGACUGCCUUUGGACUUCAACUGCAACUCUUUGCUAUGUCUCUAGUCUGUUGGCCUCCUCGGUUGGACUUUGGAUUCACCAAGCCUCCAUAAGGUAAGGGAAGGCACCUGAUCAAAAUAAAUCUCUUUACACACAUGCACCAUACCCUGUUAGUUUGGUUUCUCUGGAAAACCCUGUUUGAUAUAGAUUUAUACAUUGUUAAAUAUCAUCAAUGAUAUAGGUAAGCAUUCAAAAUAGUAAGAAUGAGAUCUUGGACUUCCUCAAUUAAGAAUCCAGAACUGGGAGUUUUAAAAAUCCUACAAUUAUGAAAUUAUGGUAUGUGGAGCUUUUUUUUUUUUUUUUUUUGGUACCAGAGGUUGAACCACAUCCUCAGACCCUUUUUGUAUUUUACUUAAAGACGGGAUCUCACUGAGUUGCUUAGGGCCUUGCUAAAUUGCUGAGUCUGGCAUUGAACCUGUGAUCCUCCUGCCUCAGUUUACCAAAUGGCUGGGAUUACAGGCAUGUGCCACCACACCCAGCCAGAUAGAAGCUUUUGCAAGCAAAGGAGGCAAUAGUUUUUGGGAGAUGUAUUAAAUGGUUCAAAGGCUAUUUUAUUUGAACUCUGUGAAUUAAAAAUGAAAAAUUAAAAUAUAUCUUAAUAUCAGCAUGAUCACUCAUAAUGUUGGCCAUUUAGUCCUCUGUCUCACAGCUAAAAGAUUUGCUGACAGGUCUCUUUAUUUUGAAAAGGGAGACUGGUACCAAUUCUACAUGAAAUAACAAGUAAAAAGAGAUUUUAUAAGACAACAGAUUAAUCACCUCCUCAUCAAAAUGCCUUAUUAAAUGUCCUUUUACAUGUAAUAUACUUACAUGUAAAAGUAUUUUACAGAGACAUUAAUGAGUUAUGAACAAUUGCAUGCUAAUAGCUAAUAAUUAUCAUUUAUUGAAUAUGUACUAUAUACCACACUGUUUUAUAUGCAUUAAAUCUCUAAAUCUCAUUAUAUGAUAAAGAGUUUGUUUGGCCUUUUCCCCAUUUCCUGGGAGGAAAACUAAAUUCUUAUAAUUUCCUAAGUAAUCAGAGUGGUUCUAUUAUUCAUAGGGUCCUUGAAUCAUACUAUAUGUGAAAGAGGUCACACGAGAUGGGGUUUGUUCACACUAGAAAGACCAACCAUGUGAUUAGAGGGUUGGGGCUUUGAGCUCUGUGAUGUCACUGACCCCCGGGAGUGACAGGGCUGGGGAGGAGGACUAGAAAUGGACUUUGAUCAUAUGACAAGUGAUUUGAUCCAUCAUAGUUAUGCAAAGAAAUAUCAAUUAAAAACUCUGAACACUGAAACUCAACUGAACUUUCUGGUUGGUGAUAUACAUUGCUUUGGACUGAAUGUUUAAAUCCCCCCAUAAUUCACAUGUUGAAGCCCUAAUUUUCAACAGAAUUAUUUGGAGGAAGGACCUUUGGGUGGUCGGAAGAAGUGCCGGCUUUGGCUCCACCUUCAUGAAUAGGAUUAGUAUUCUCAGAAGAAGAGACACAAGAGAGAUCUCUCAUUCUGCCACGUGAGGAUACCGCAAGAAGGUGUCUGUCUUCAAAUCAGCAGAGAACCCUCACCAGCACCUCACCAUGUUAGCAUUCUGAUCUUGGACUUCUCAGCCUCUAGAACUGUGAGAAAUAAGUUUCUGCUGUUUAAUAAUCUACCCAUCUACAGUAUUUUUUAAUAGCAUCCUGAACUGACCUAGACAUAUACUGACAUGCUGGGAGAAUCAUGUGUCCUGAGGUCACGGAAGCUCUGCAUUUCAUUGGGACCCUUCCCAGACAUGGCCCUCUGUGUCUCUUCAAAGAUUCAGCUGAUCCUGAUGUGUAGUCUUUAUAAAAGCUGUAAUUGUUAUUUCAGUGCUUUCAUGAGUCCUGUGACUUGUUCUAAUAAGUUAUUAAACUUGGGGGGCAUGGUAGGAACCCCUGAAUUUGUAGCAGUUGGUU